rnacentral:rRNA from 1 species
AUUGAACGCUGGCGGCAGGCCUAACACAUGCAAGUCGAGCGAGCGGCGGACGGGUGAGUAAUGUCUGGGAAACUGCCUGAUGGAGGGGGAUAACUACUGGAAACGGUAGCUAAUACCGCAUAACAGCAGAUGUGCCAAGAUGGGAUGAGCUAGUAGGUGGGGUAAUGGCUCAACUAGGCGACGAUCCCUAGCGGGUCUGAGAGGCUGACCAGCCACACUGGAACUGAGACACGGGCCAGACUCCUAGGGGAGGCAGCAGUGGGGAAUAUUGCACAAUGGGCGCAAGCCUGAUGCAGCCAUGCCGCGUGUGUGAAGAAGGCCUUCGGGUUGUAAAGCACUUUCAGCGGGGAGGCGUGACCCGCAGAAGAAGCACCGGCUAACUCCGUGCCAGCCGCCGCGGUAAUAC